ACGAACGCUGGCGGCACGCUUAACACAUGCAAGUCGAACGAGAGAAGAGAAGCUUGCUUUUCUGAUCUAGUGGCGGACGGGUGAGUAACACGUGAGCAAUCUGCCUUUCAGAGGGGGAUGCCGAUUGGAAACGAUCGUUAAUACCGCAUAAUAUAAUUGAACCGCAUGAUUUGAUUAUCAAAGAUUUAUCGCUGAAAGAUGAGCUCGCGUCUGAUUAGCUAGUUGGUAAGGUAACGGCUUACCAAGGCGACGAUCAGUAGCCGGACUGAGAGGUUGAUCGGCCACAUUGGGACUGAGACACGGCCCAGACUCCUACGGGAGGCAGCAGUGGGGAAUAUUGCACAAUGGAGGAAACUCUGAUGCAGCGAUGCCGCGUGAGGGAAGAAGGUUUUAGGAUUGUAAACCUCUGUCUUCAGGGACGAAAAAAGACGGUACCUGAGGAGGAAGCUCCGGCUAACUACGUGCCAGCAGCCGCGGUAAUACGUAGGGAGCGAGCGUUGUCCGGAAUUACUGGGUGUAAAGGGAGCGUAGGCGGGAUCGCAAGUCAGAUGUGAAAACUAUGGGCUUAACCCAUAAACUGCAUUUGAAACUGUGGUUCUUGAGUGAAGUAGAGGUAAGCGGAAUUCCUAGUGUAGCGGUGAAAUGCGUAGAUAUUAGGAGGAACAUCAGUGGCGAAGGCGGCUUACUGGGCUUUAACUGACGCUGAGGCUCGAAAGCGUGGGGAGCAAACAGGAUUAGAUACCCUGGUAGUCCACGCCGUAAACGAUGAUUACUAGGUGUGGGGGGACUGACCCCUUCCGUGCCGCAGCAAACGCAAUAAGUAAUCCACCUGGGGAGUACGACCGCAAGGUUGAAACCCAAAGGAAUUGACGGGGGCCCGCACAAGCAGUGGAGUAUGUGGAUUAAUUCGAAGCAACGCGAAGAACCUUACCAGGUCUUGACAUCGUAUGCAUAGCUCAGAGAUGAGUGAAAUCUCUUCGGAGACAUAUAGACAGGUGGUGCAUGGUUGUCGUCAGCUCGUGUCGUGAGAUGUUGGGUUAAGUCCCGCAACGAGCGCAACCCUUACUGUUAGUUGCUACGCAAGAGCACUCUAGCAGGACUGCCGUUGACAAAACGGAGGAAGGUGGGGAUGACGUCAAAUCAUCAUGCCCCUUAUGACCUGGGCCUCACACGUACUACAAUGGCUGUUAACAGAGGGAUGCAAAGCCGCGAGGUGGAGCGAACCCCUAAAAGCAGUCUUAGUUCGGAUUGUAGGCUGCAACCCGCCUACAUGAAGUCGGAAUUGCUAGUAAUCGCAGAUCAGCAUGCUGCGGUGAAUACGUUCCCGGGCCUUGUACACACCGCCCGUCACGCCAUGGGAGUCGGUAACACCCGAAGCCUGUAGUCUAACCGCAAGGAGGACGCAGUCGAAGGUGGGAUUGAUGACUGGGGUG
rnacentral:rRNA from 1 species